CUGCCCCUUUUUGUGGGUCCUUCCAUUGUGAAUUGACGGUAGGUGUAGUAGCGGUGAAGCCGCAAAUUUGUGGAAGGAUACAGGGGAUGGUAAUAUCAAUGUGCUUGUUACCGCCAGGAUCGUUGUUUCUGGUUUUCCGGCUGCUGUGUUGGACGCUCACGGUGGUUUACAGUUGUCGUCACACAAAUAGCCUGCAUUUCCUAUGACUGGUAAAGAUGUGUAGUACGCCGCCAUAACGCUCCCGCGGUAACUGCACGUGUAAGGGUUUCUGGACUUUUGUUAGUUUGGGGCAGAAUACAUCUACUGCUGUGACGGCGCUGCUGUUUUGCCUGGGUCUCAUCUUGAUUAAUUGGGUUACGUUCGUGAGUUUGUUUAUGCCAUAUAUGCUUGUGUGUGUGUG